rnacentral:rRNA from 1 species
CGAAGGGUGCGAGCGUUGUUCGGAAUUAUUGGGCGUAAAGCGCACGUAGGCGGCCUUGUAAGUCUCACUGUGAAAGUCCGGGGCUCAACCCCGGGAUGCCAGGGGAUACUGCGAGGCUGGAGACAAGCAGAGGUUGGUAGAAUUCCGGGUGUAGCGGUGGAAUGCGUAGAGAUCCGGAGGAAUACCAGAGGCGAAGGCGGCCAACUGGGCUUGUUCUGACGCUGAGGUGCGAAAGCGUGGGGAGCGAACAGGAUUAGAUACCCUGGUAGUCCACGCCGUAAACGAUGGACACUAGAUGCCGGCGGGAACGACCCCAUCGGUGUCGAAGCUAACGCAUUAAGUGUCCCGCCUGGGGAGUACGGCCGCAAGGCUG